rnacentral:rRNA from 1 species
CCAAUAGCGUAUAUUAAAGUUGUUGCAGUUAAAAAGCUCGUAGUUGAAUUUCGGAAUCGAUGGAUCGGUCAUGCCAUUCGGUGUGUACUGGUUUAAUUGGUUCUCACCUUCUAAGGAACCGUGAUGUCAUUAAUUUGGUGUCGCGGGAAAUUAGGACUGUUACCUUGAAAAAAUUAGAGUGUUUAAAGCAAGCUCACGCU